AUCAGAUUUUUUGAAAUCUAAAGAUUAGUUGUUUUACUAAAUCUUAGACUAAAAAAAAAUUUAUUUAUUUUACUAAAAUCAGCAAGGAACGCACAUGUAAAAAAGCUCAUUUUAUGGAAACACUAUCGGUGUUUUAAAGACAUUGAAAAUGAAAAUGAACAUUAUCAUACUGUUUUUUGAUUUAAUUUGGUUAUCCAUAAUCACUGAAGGAAAAAGCCUCGCUAAAAAAACUAACAUUGCAAAAAUGCUUCAAGAAUUUAAUCAGUCAGUGGAAAAAAGUAUAAAAAAAUUAGAAAAAUUAAAAAUUGAUGAAUUUCGAAAAGAAAGCCAUUUUACGAGCGGCUCGCAUUUUAUAUUCCAAGACGAAAAAAGUAUUUAUUUUAAAAGAAUGAAAUACGAAAUUGAAAGCCUAAUGAAUGGAGUCAAUAAUGAUUACUCAGAAAAUCAGGAAGAACAUUUUAAUGCAAAUACCCCGCAACCUAAAGAAAAUCUUGUCAAGAAGAACAAAUAAAAAAUAAAGAAAAACAUUUUGAUGCAAACACUCAAGUUGCAAAUAUCAAUGUUUUUUAAAUGAAAACUUUUAAUGGUUUUUAACAACUACUCAAAAAGUUCUUGUAACA
rnacentral:lncRNA from 1 species